GGGAGGUGUGAUCCUGUACUCUCUGGGAGGUGUGAUCCCGUGUUCCCUGGGAGGUGUGAUAUCAUGCUCCCU
rnacentral:pre_miRNA from 1 species